rnacentral:rRNA from 1 species
UAUGUGAUCGUCUCUCGCAUAUCAAUAAGCGGAGGAAAAGAAACUAACAAGGAUUCCCUUAGUAAUGACGAGUGAAGAGGGAAGAGCUCAAAUUUGAAAUCUUCAAGGUUUUACCUUGACGAAUUGUAGUUUAAAGAAGUGUUUUCUGUUGAAGUUUUGGUAAAAGUUCUUUGGAAUAGGACAUCAUAGAGGGUGAGAAUCCCGUAUUUGACCAUUAUUUUCAGCUGUGUGAUACACUUUCAAAGAGUCGGAUUGUUUGGGAAUGCAGUCCUAAAUGGGUGGUAAAUUUCAUCUAAAGCUAAAUAUUGGCGAGAGACCGAUAGCGAACAAGUACCGUGAGGGAAAGAUGAAAAGAACUUUGAAAAGAGAGUUAAACAGUACGUGAAAUUGUCAAAAGGGAAGCGUUUGACACCAGUGUUGUUUUCUCGAGAAUCAAUUAAAAAGAGUUAGAUUUUGUUGUGUAUUGACCUUAACAGCUUGCAUUUCAAUUUUCUUGCUUUUUUUAAUGCACUUUUCGUUUAACAAGUCAACAUCAGUUUCUUUUGUUGUAAAAAGGUCAUUGGAAGGUGGCUUUCUUUUCGGAGAAAGUGUUUAUAGCCUUUGACUCCUGCAAUCGGAGAGACUGAGGUCUGCAGCGUAGAUCCUUCGGGGUUAGAUACAUUUGUGCUAAGUUAUAGCUUUUAUAGACAACUUGUUGACUAUGAUUAGUCUUGUAGCUUACUCGCUUAUGCUAUUUUACCUACGCUUAGGAUGUUGAAGAUGUAGCACAUCAU